UUUGAACGCUGGCGGCAGGCCUAACACAUGCAAGUCGAACGAGUGGCGGACGGGUGAGUAAUGUCUGGGAAACUGCCCGAUGGAGGGGGAUAACUACUGGAAACGGUAGCUAAUACCGCAUACCAUCGGAUGUGCCCAGAUGGGAUUAGCUAGUAGGUGGGGUAACGGCUCACCUAGGUGACGAUCCCUAGCUGGUCUGGGAGGAUGACGACACACACGGGAACUGUGAUACGGUCCAGAAUCCUACGGGAGGCGGCAGUGGGGAAUAUUGCACAAUGGGCGCAAGCCUGACGCAUCCAUGCGGCGUGGAUGAAGAAGGCCUUCGGGUUGUAAAGUACGUUCAGCGAGGAGGCGUUACUCGCAGAAGAAGCAACGGCUAACUCCGUGCCAGCCGCCGCGGUAAUAC
rnacentral:rRNA from 1 species